GGUCAAGUGAAGAAGCGCAUACGGUGGAUGCCUUGGCAGUCAGAGGCGAUGAAAGACGUGGUAGCCUGCGAAAAGCUUCGGGGAGUCGGCAAACAGACUGUGAUCCGGAGAUGUCUGAAUGGGGGAACCCAGCCAUCAUAAGAUGGUUAUCUUACACUGAAUACAUAGGUGUAAGAGGCGAACCAGGGGAACUGAAACAUCUAAGUACCCUGAGGAAAAGAAAUCAACCGAGAUUCCCUUAGUAGUGGCGAGCGAACGGGGACCAGCCCUUAAGUUGUAUUGAGAUUAGCGGAACGCUCUGGAAAGGGCGGCCAUAGUGGGUGAUAGCCCUGUACGCGAAAAUCCCUUUGCAAUGAAAUCGAGUAGGACGGGGCACGAGAAACCUUGUCUGAAUAUGGGGGGACCAUCCUCCAAGGCUAAAUACUACUGACUGACCGAUAGUGAACCAGUACCGUGAGGGAAAGGCGAAAAGAACCGCGGAGAGCGGAGUGAAAUAGAUCCUGAAACCGUAUGCGUACAAGCAGUGGGAGCCCACUUUGUUGGGUGACUGCGUACCUUUUGUAUAAUGGGUCAGCGACUUAUUUUCAGUGGCGAGCUUAACCGAAUAGGGGAGGCGUAGCGAAAGCGAGUCUUAAUAGGGCGUCUAGUCGCUGGGAAUAGACCCGAAACCGGGCGAUCUAUCCAUGGGCAGGUUGAAGGUUGGGUAACACUAACUGGAGGACCGAACCGACUACCGUUGAAAAGUUAGCGGAUGACCUGUGGAUCGGAGUGAAAGGCUAAUCAAGCUCGGAGAUAGCUGGUUCUCCUCGAAAGCUAUUUAGGUAGCGCCUCAUGUAUCACUGUAGGGGGUAGAGCACUGUUUCGGCUAGGGGGUCAUCCCGACUUACCAAACCGAUGCAAACUCCGAAUACCUACAAGUGCCGAGCAUGGGAGACACACGGCGGGUGCUAACGUCCGUCGUGAAAAGGGAAACAACCCAGACCGUCAGCUAAGGUCCCAAAGUCAUGGUUAAGUGGGAAACGAUGUGGGAAGGCUUAGACAGCUAGGAGGUUGGCUUAGAAGCAGCCACCCUUUAAAGAAAGCGUAAUAGCUCACUAGUCGAGUCGGCCUGCGCGGAAGAUGUAACGGGGCUCAAACCAUGCACCGAAGCUACGGGUAUCAUCUUUUGAUGAUGCGGUAGAGGAGCGUUCUGUAAGCCUGUGAAGGUGAGUUGAGAAGCUUGCUGGAGGUAUCAGAAGUGCGAAUGCUGACAUGAGUAACGACAAUGGGUGUGAAAAACACCCACGCCGAAAGACCAAGGUUUCCUGCGCAACGUUAAUCGACGCAGGGUUAGUCGGUCCCUAAGGCGAGGCUGAAAAGCGUAGUCGAUGGAAAACAGGUUAAUAUUCCUGUACUUCUGGUUAUUGCGAUGGAGGGACGGAGAAGGCUAGGCCAGCCUGGCGUUGGUAGUCCAGGUUUAAGGUGGUAGGCUGAGAUCUUAGGUAAAUCCGGGAUCUUAAGGCCGAGAGCUGAUGACGAGUGUUCUUUUAGAACAUGAAGUGGUUGAUGCCAUGCUUCCAAGAAAAGCUUCUAAGCUUCAGGUAACCAGGAACCGUACCCCAAACCGACACAGGUGGUUGGGUAGAGAAUACCAAGGCGCUUGAGAGAACUCGGGUGAAGGAACUAGGCAAAAUGGCACCGUAACUUCGGGAGAAGGUGCGCCGGUGAGGGUGAAGCAUUUACUGCGUAAGCCCACGCCGGUCGAAGAUACCAGGCCGCUGCGACUGUUUAUUAAAAACACAGCACUCUGCAAACACGAAAGUGGACGUAUAGGGUGUGACGCCUGCCCGGUGCCGGAAGGUUAAUUGAUGGGGUUAGCGCAAGCGAAGCUCUUGAUCGAAGCCCCGGUAAACGGCGGCCGUAACUAUAACGGUCCUAAGGUAGCGAAAUUCCUUGUCGGGUAAGUUCCGACCUGCACGAAUGGCGUAACGAUGGCGGCGCUGUCUCCACCCGAGACUCAGUGAAAUUGAAAUCGCUGUGAAGAUGCAGUGUAUCCGCGGCUAGACGGAAAGACCCCGUGAACCUUUACUAUAGCUUUGCACUGGACUUUGAAUUUGCUUGUGUAGGAUAGGUGGGAGGCUUUGAAGCGUGGACGCCAGUCUGCGUGGAGCCAACCUUGAAAUACCACCCUGGCAACUUUGAGGUUCUAACUCAGGUCCGUUAUCCGGAUCGAGGACAGUGUAUGGUGGGUAGUUUGACUGGGGCGGUCUCCUCCUAAAGAGUAACGGAGGAGUACGAAGGUGCGCUCAGACCGGUCGGAAAUCGGUCGUAGAGUAUAAAGGCAAAAGCGCGCUUGACUGCGAGACAGACACGUCGAGCAGGUACGAAAGUAGGUCUUAGUGAUCCGGUGGUUCUGUAUGGAAGGGCCAUCGCUCAACGGAUAAAAGGUACUCCGGGGAUAACAGGCUGAUACCGCCCAAGAGUUCAUAUCGACGGCGGUGUUUGGCACCUCGAUGUCGGCUCAUCACAUCCUGGGGCUGAAGCCGGUCCCAAGGGUAUGGCUGUUCGCCAUUUAAAGUGGUACGCGAGCUGGGUUUAGAACGUCGUGAGACAGUUCGGUCCCUAUCUGCCGUGGACGUUUGAGAUUUGAGAGGGGCUGCUCCUAGUACGAGAGGACCGGAGUGGACGAACCUCUGGUGUUCCGGUUGUCACGCCAGUGGCAUUGCCGGGUAGCUAUGUUCGGAAAAGAUAACCGCUGAAAGCAUCUAAGCGGGAAACUUGCCUCAAGAUGAGAUCUCACUGGAACCUUGAGUUCCCUGAAGGGCCGUCGAAGACUACGACGUUGAUAGGUUGGGUGUGUAAGCGCUGUGAGGCGUUGAGCUAACCAAUACUAAUUGCCCGUGAGGCUUGACCAUAUAACACCC
rnacentral:rRNA from 1 species